UGAGGAAUAUUGCGCAAUGGAGGCAACUCUGACGCAGCCAUGCCGCGUGCAGGAAGAAGGCGCUACGCGUUGUAAACUGCUUUUAUCCGGGAAGAAACCCCAGGACGUGUCCUGGGUUGACGGUACCGGAGGAAUAAGCACCGGCUAACUUCGUG
rnacentral:rRNA from 1 species